rnacentral:rRNA from 1 species
GUAUAAGAGACAGCAGCAGCCGCGGGAAUACAGAGGGUGCGAGCGUUAAUCGGAAUUACUGGGCGUAAAGCGCGCGUAGACGGUUUUGUAAGUCAGAUGUGAAAUCCCUGGGCUCAACCUGGGAACUGCAUUUGAAACUGCAUGGCUAGAGUAUCGAAGAGGGAAGUGGAAUUUCCGGUGUAGCGGUGAAAUGCGUAGAUAUCGGAAGGAACACCAGUGGCGAAAGCGACUUCCUGGUCGAAUACUGACGUUCAUGUGCGAAAGCGUGGGGAGCAAACAGGAUUAGAUACCCCUGUAGUCCCUGUCUCUUAUAC